rnacentral:rRNA from 3 species
AGACCCGAAACCCGGUGAUCUAGCCAUGGGCAGGUUGAAGGUUGGGUAACACUAACUGGAGGACCGAACCGACUAAUGUUGAAAAAUUAGCGGAUGACUUGUGGCUGGGGGUGAAAGGCCAAUCAAACCGGGAGAUAGCUGGUUCUCCCCGAAAGCUAUUUAGGUAGCGCCUCGUGAAUUCAUCUCCGGGGGUAGAGCACUGUUUCGGCAAGGGGGUCAUCCCGACUUACCAACCCGAUGCAAACUGCGAAUACCGGAGAAUGUUAUCACGGGAGACACACGGCGGGUGCUAACGUCCGUCGUGAAGAGGGAAACAACCCAGACCGCCAGCUAAGGUCCCAAAGUCAUGGUUAAGUGGGAAACGAUGUGGGAAGGCCCAGACAGCCAGGAUGUUGGCUUAGAAGCAGCCAUCAUUUAAAGAAAGCGUAAUAGCUCACUGGUCGAGUCGGCCUGCGCGGAAGAUGUAACGGGGCUAAACCAUGCACCGAAGCUGCGGCAGCGACACUGUGUGUUGUUGGGUAGGGGAGCGUUCUGUAAGCCUGUGAAGGUGUGCUGUGAGG